CCUCCGGGACUUGAACAGGUCCGACUGGUGCGGUCUAAACAGGGAUCUCCUCUUCAUGCUCGAUCUAAGGCUCUACAAUGGGUGUUGUUGCAUGUGCUCUAUGUUGUGCUCUGCCUCUACCUUUCCCCUACCUCGGCUCCGACCCCUAUCCUAGUAGUGGCUGUAACAGGGGGCUCUGGAUCCUGCCUGAUUUUAGAUUUUGUGUGUUUCCUCACAAUCUGUGAGAGAAUAAGAAUAUAAUGGUUCAAACUUUAGUAAUAGAAUAAAGCCGCACGAUAGAUAAAGAAAGAAGUAAAAUUUUCCUAAAGCCCUAUAGCCUCGAGAAGAUAAGUACAGACGUCUCCAUAUUGAUCCUCCAUACUCUACUAAGCUUGCUCAUGACUCGCGAUACCUAUGCAACUUACUCUGAUACCAACUUGUUAUGAUUCGGAAUCCCAACCUCGGGGCCGUGAUGGCGCCUAACAUUUCACUUGCUAGGCAAGCCAACGUUAGCUAAUUACUUACCAGAUUUAACCUUUUAAAAUAGAACAUAAAUAAUAAGAAGCUAUAAUAGUCUGAAAUAAAUGUGAUAAAUGCAACGUAGCGUAGUCUAAACAUAUCCCAGAAAUCUGGAGUCCUGAAUACAUGAGCAUACUAUAAUUAUACAGUUAAAAUCAAACAAAUUACAACUGUUCGAAAUAAGGAAAACACUAAAGAUAGGGUAGAAGGGGACUUUAAGAUAUGUGAACGCUAGCAACUCUACCGCAAGUAUCCGAAAGAAGUUGAAUCUGAACAGUCUCCACUACGCGUCGCUGAGACCAAAUCGGUCCGGUAUAUGUACAAUUACAGAAGUAUAGCAUGAGUACAACUGACCCCAUGUACUAUGUAAGUGUUGAGCCUAACCUCGACGAAGUAGUAACGAGACUAUGGCAAGCCACUCACAAAUAACAUGUACGAAAUAAUAAUAACAGAAAAUAGGAAUAGAAAUAAAGCAAUAAAUUCAUAUAAACGGACCCAAAGGUCCACUACCAGAGGACCCCAGAAAAACAUAAAUCUCAAAUCUCAUAUCAUAAUACUAAGAGUAAACUCUACCGCCACAAACAACUACAACACAUCAAAUCCAUUGCGGCGUGCAACCCGAUCCCAAGUUUCAACAUAAUAUCUUUUACAACGUACAACUCAUUCCCAAUACCAAUAUCAUAUCAUUUCUUAUUAUUGUGUUGCGACGUGCAACCCGAUCCCCAAAUAUCAAUUCCUUUCAAUACUGUUGCGAAGCGUAACCCGAUCCUCCAAUAUAAAUUUAUCAACAUAAAUGACUCAACACCACUGUUGAUACAAUUUUACCCUCAUAUUUUAUAAAAUAUUUCAUAUACUUUCAAAACAUCAUUUUGUACUAUUACCCAAUUUAUAGGGGAAUAUAAGUAUUUUCUAUAAUUUUUAAAGCUUUAAAAUUAAUUUUCUUACACGUUCAAAUAUUUAUUAAUUAUUCCUUGAAAUUAUAUUAUGGUGACUUAAUCAUUCAAAUUUAUUAUUUGUAUCCACACACAUCUUAUAGUAUUUUACUCCUUUUUUACAUAAUUAUAGUUGCCUUUUCUAUAAUAUUUGCAAUAAUAGCAUGUAUUCUCAUAGUAAUUACAUUUCAUUGUAUUAUUUAUGUCCAAAUAGCAUCUUUAUAUUUUUAUAAUCCUGAGUUAUUAUUUUUAAGUAUUUAACAUCUUAAAUAAUAUUUUUUAUUUAUUUUAUAGAUAUUUUUAUAAUUUAUUUUAAUAAAUUUCGUGUAUUUUAAAAUUAUAGCCCAAGAUAGGGCUAAUUUUCGGACCAUUUAAGGUCCAAAUGAACAUGCCCAUCCCAAUUGACCCCACAAGCCAAAACAAAAUUGCUCUCUUUAAGACUAGGUCGCGACCCAUUACACAAACUCGCCACAUAUUCUUUAAAUCAUGGCCGUUAAUCUCUCAAGAUCAACGGCCCAUAAUCACCCCACCCUUUUAAUUGACCAAACCCUCAGAAACCCUACCUAUUUCACGUCCCCAGGUUCGUGUUCGCGAUGAAGACCACAACCAUUUCCCCCAGGUCAUCCCAAAGCAUCACGUUUGUGAGACGCCUGUUGAGUUCGCGACGAGUAAGCCUCUCAUUGCUUCAAAUUCGCGACCGGGACUUGCAUUCACAAAGACCAACCAGCCCCUAACCCAAGUUUCCCCUUCGCAAUCUUGAAGCACAAGACACCACACACUAGAAACAACAGUUUACAAGUUCAAAAUAAUCUAAAACUCACAUGAGCCCCUCUGGCUCCAAACUAGACAUGCACACAAGUGUAAUAAUAUCAUAUAAACUUUCUCGCACAAUCAAAAUACCAUAAUUACACCUGGAACCACGAAUCGAACAUCAAAACACAUAAAAUUCAAAAGGAAACUCAAGAGUAGCUAGAAACUCAAUCAAGUGUCUGAUUCCUAUCAAACCAACUAGGAACUGCACCAAAUUUUGCAUACAAGUUUCAAAUAACAAAACAGAACUAUUUCAAGUUCCAAAACCAAAAUUCGAACCCGAUAACCAUAAAGUAAACCUAUGGUCAAAUUUAAAGAGUUUCCAAACAUUCAAAUCGCUAACUUUAGGCAAAAUAAGACAAAUCAACCUAGGGACAUCCGAAUUCAAUUCCGGGUAUACGCUCAAGUCAAAAAUCACAAUACGAACCUACUAAAAUCGUCAAAUCGCUGAUCCGAGGUUGUUUACCCAAAAUAUUAACGGUAGUCAGCACAAGUUGUUUUUAAAGCCAAAGAUCACUUUUUUUAAUUUUUUUACGUAAAAUAUUUCUGAAAGAUGAUACAAGCCACUCACGCUAAUCAAGAAGUAUUGAAUGAAGCUAAUAGAGGUCUUAAAAUGUAGAAAUAAGGGCUAGCACUCAAAACAACCUAUCUAGUCGUCACAAGAACCAAUGAAUUUGAAUAAUGUUUAGUGCACGGGACAAGCUGGGAGAGAGAAGAUUUAAUGCAACAGUUACAAAAGAAGAAGGACCAGUGGGGAGGCAGUUGGGUUUUUUGUGAUGACCCGAUCAUUUUUAGUUUUAGAAGUUCGAAUUAUGUUUCGAGAAUUUUGGUAGCCUGGGAUAGUUAUUUGGGACUUGUAUGCAAAUUUGGGACUUGUACACAAGUAUAUAUUAUGUUGAAAAGUAAGCUACACAUUCUCUUCAUAUGUCACCCCAUUUCUCCUAUUUUUCUUUCUGGGUAUGUAUGGUUGACUUAAAGCCAGUGGCGAAACUAGAAAUUUCUCCAAAGGUGUUUAAAUUUAAAAGAAGGGGAAAAAAAUUCGACAAAAGGUGUUCAAUAUGUGCUAUAUACUUCAAAAGCGUAAUAUUUUGCCUCUGUAAACAGUGCAAUUUUUCGACGAAGGGUGGUUAGUUGACCACCCUUAUCAACAUGUGGCUCCGGCACUGCUUAAGGCAGUAUAAUUGUGUUAAAAUUUACUGUAACUUUAAUGAUAGAAUUUGGGUUUUUGCUUAUUCAUUUUCUUCAUUUGUUAGGUUCCUGAUCCUCUAGAAGAAGGUACUAGUCCAGAUCUUGAAGUGGUCAGUUAUUUAUUAUUUCUGCUGCAUUUACAUGGUUUUCUUGUAUUUGGGGUUCUAAUGCAAGUUUUUGAAGUUCUAUUGAAAUGCCAAGUUUCUGAAGUUCUAUUUUUCUUGACUGUCGAAAUGCAUUAUUGCUAUUUUGAUAUAUCUAUGCUACUUUCUUGAUUAACUCUGUUUUUAUAAGUGAAAGUUUGUGUUAUAACAAAAGUGCAAUAAAUUAUUCUAAAUUAGUUGCAGUAUUUUUAGAAAAGAGAAAAUCUAGCUCAAUUGAAAAUUUAACCAAACUAACAUUGUAAUUCAAUUUAAUUUAGUGUAUAAAUUGUUCUCUAUCUAAACACACAGGAAAAUACUUCUAUAAUCUAAAUAUGGAGAGACUCUACUUUGAUAGACUAAUGAAUAAAAUUGGACGACUCCAAGGGUCAUAUGAUACUUAUGGAAUCUGCAAAAACCAUUAUAUCUAAAAGUGGAGCAGUCGACAUCAAUUUUUCCACAGAAUAGACAACAGGCAAGUGGGAUAAUCAAAGGGAAAAAAAGGAGAUAAGCAAGCAAAUAAAAAGCUUACCUUUUUAACUAAGAAGUGGAGAACUCUAAGAAACUCAGUAUAAGUAUGUAGUAGAGAACCCCAAGAAACACAGUCCUCAGAGUAGAGUAUCAAAAAAAGUAGAUAUCUUGUCGAUAUUAGAAUAAAUUUAGCAGUUGGGAAUUUAUAGUAAGGAUCGGAGAUAAAGGAUCGGUGAAGUUGGGAUUUUUUAGCAGAUGAAGAGAACAUAGGAGAAAGUCAUAGAGGAUAAUAGAGCAGGUGGUGAAAAGAUGAAGAUGACCCUACAGAGAAUAGGACAGGUGCG
rnacentral:lncRNA from 1 species